rnacentral:rRNA from 1 species
UACGUAGGGUGCGAGCGUUAAUCGGAAUUACUGGGCGUAAAGCGUGCGCAGGCGGUGAUGUAAGACAGGUGUGAAAUCCCCGGGCUUAACCUGGGAACUGCAUUUGUGACUGCAUGGCUAGAGUGCGGCAGAGGGGGAUGGAAUUCCGCGUGUAGCAGUGAAAUGCGUAGAUAUGCGGAGGAACACCGAUGGCGAAGGCAAUCCCCUGGGCCUGCACUGACGCUCAUGCACGAAAGCGUGGGGAGCAAACAGG